GAUGAACGCUGGCGGCGUGCUUAACACAUGCAAGUCGAACGAAGCACUUAAGCUUGAUUCUUCGGAUGACGUCUUUUGUGACUUAGUGGCGGACGGGUGAGUAACGCGUGGGUAACCUGCCUCACACAGGGGGAUAACAGUUAGAAAUGACUGCUAAUACCGCAUAACCCGAUAGGAUCGCAUGAUCCAGACGGAAAAGAUUUAUCGGUGUGAGAUGGACCCGCGUCUGAUUAGCUAGUUGGUGAGGUAACGGCCCACCAAGGCGACGAUCAGUAGCCGGCCUGAGAGGGUGAACGGCCACAUUGGGACUGAGACACGGCCCAAACUCCUACGGGAGGCAGCAGUGGGGAAUAUUGCACAAUGGGGGAAACCCUGAUGCAGCGACGCCGCGUGAGUGAAGAAGUAUUUCGGUAUGUAAAGCUCUAUCAGCAGGGAAGAAAAUGACGGUACCUGACUAAGAAGCCCCGGCUAACUACGUG
rnacentral:rRNA from 1 species